ensembl:misc_RNA Y_RNA Y RNA
GGCUGGUCGAGUGCAGUGGUGUUUAGAAUUAACUGAUCACAACCAGGUACUGAUUUCUUUGUCCCUUCUCCACUCCAACUGCAUCACUUGACUAGCCUAAA